UCAAGAAGUUUAUCUCAUUCCUAGGCUAAGAGGAUAUUUUGGGGAACCACGAGAAACCCUAACAGUAUAAACCAGUAAGGAUUUCUUAACUAAGGUGGGUAGAAGCUCUCUGGUAGUGGUUUGGUCUUACUCUAUGUCUAAUAGCAUUAUUUUGAGCAUUGAUGAUUAAAAUUCUACUCUUGCUUGUUAGUUGCUUCCUUUGAUUCCAUGAUUUUGUCGUUAUUGUUCAUUUAGCAUGCUUAAUAAAUCUCUAUCGAUAUUGCUUAUUGUCUAUCUUGACAGUGGGCAUUUCUCUUGAGCAAAGCAUGCUUGCUGUAUAGUAACAGAGCAAAGUAUUUUAUGAAUCAUCAUUCCUCUAUUACCUGCUUACUAGUUGUAGCAUCUUCUUAUUAAAAGUCUUAAUUGAGAUGAUUUAUUGAUUAGUUUGAACAUGAGCAUAUAACCAUAUCUUGCAAACUGAGAUAUUGGUUAAAAACAUUUUGGGUAGUCGCUCCUUUGAUUACCCCUCCGGAGUUGGAUUAGAAAAUUCUUUAAACUAUUUAAAAUAAGAUCUAUACUCUUGAUCUUGAUUACAAAACUCCUAUCAUCACUUUCUAAAAGAUAUUCAUUUUUAAUCGUUCAAUUUUGUAUCCACUUGAUAGACAAGAGAACAAUAUCAUAAAAGUAUGAAAUUUGAUUUCCAGAUAAUUUAAAAGGUCUAAGAUCAUAUUCAACGAUGUCAAUCGUCGAUUUGGAACAAGGUCUAAGAUCAUAUUCAACGAUGUCAAUCGUCGAUUUGGAGGCUCCAUCAUCGAAAACAAAUCGGCAAAAACGGAGCCCUUUUACUACUAAUAGCAUUUCAGCUCAACUCUAUAUAUAUAUAGGUGUGUGCACGCGCGCACGUGCGUACGUGUUUGCAUAUUUGCA
rnacentral:lncRNA from 1 species